GUGAUCCGGCAGAGGAUGGACAUGCGGCGCAUUAGCUAGUCGGCGGGGUAACGGCCCACCGAGGCUACGAUGCGUAGGGGUUCUGAGAGGAAGGUCCCCCACACUGGUACUGAGACACGGACCAGACUCCUACGGGAGGCAGCAGUGAGGAAUAUUGGUCAAUGGGCGGAAGCCUGAACCAGCCAAGUCGCGUGAGGGAAGACGGUCCUAUGGAUUGUAAACCUCUUUUGCAGGGGAGCAAGGCGCGGUACGUGUACCGCGAAGGAGAGUACCCUGAGAAAAAGCAUCGGCUAACUCCGUGCCAGCAGCCGCGGUAAUACGGAGGAUGCGAGCGUUAUCCGGAUUUAUUGGGUUUAAAGGGUGCGCAGGCGGACUGUUAAGUCAGCGGUAAAAUGUCGGUGCUCAACACCGGCCGGCCGUUGAAACUGGCAGCCUUGAGUGAGCGAGAAGUAUGCGGAAUGCGUGGUGUAGCGGUGAAAUGCAUAGAUAUCACGCAGAACUCCGAUUGCGAAGGCAGCAUACCGGCGCUCAACUGACGCUCAGGCACGAAAGCGUGGGUAUCGAACAGGCUUAGAUACCCUGGUAGUCCACGCAGUAAACGAUGAAUGCUCACUGUCCGGGCCGUUUAAGGCCUGG
rnacentral:rRNA from 1 species